CCCACUGAAUUUAAGCAUAUUAGUCAGCAGAGGAAAAAAAACUAACCAGGAUUCACUCAGAAAUAAUAAGUGAACAGCAUCUCCGGGCAUUGGUGGCACACGCCUUUAAUCCCAGCACUCGGGAGGCAGAGGCAGGCAGAUCUCUGUGAGUUCGAGGCCAGCCUGAUUUCCAGAGCGAGUGCCAGGAUAGGCUCCAAAGCUACACAGAGAAACUCUGUCUCGAAAAACCAAAAACAAACAAACAAACAAACAAACAAAAAUAAGUGAACAGGGAAGAACCCAGCAAUGGAGCCUGACCUCACAGUAAGGUGCAGGAACUGUGUCUUGCCGAAGACCCACUCCUUGGAGCCAUUCAUGGGAGACCCAAGUCCAGAAUUCUGAUGUAGGGACAGGCUGUGGACUGUGUGCAUCCAGUAGCCUGGGUCUUCCCAGAGUGGGGUUGCUUGAGAAUGCAGCCCAAAGUGAGUGGUAAACUCCUUUUAAGGCUAAAUGCUGGUACAAGACCAAUAGUCAACAAACCUUAAGGGAAAGUUGAAAAGAUUU
rnacentral:ncRNA from 1 species